CUCGGCAUACACAAGAGGGUGCACAGGGAGCCGGCGCCCGUCGCUGUGACCAUGACGCAGUGCGAGUUCUGCGGCAAGGAGUUCAACAGCACCUACCUGAAGACGCACCAGGAAGCGGUCCACAAGCUUGCAGAUCCCAACACUCUCCUUACGUGCGA